UGGGAUACAGCCAGUGGUAGAGCACUUGCCUGGCAUGCAUGAGGCCCUGGGUUCAAUCCCCAGCACCCUAA
rnacentral:tRNA from 1 species